rnacentral:hammerhead_ribozyme from 1 species
GUCCAGAUGACGAGUCCCGAAUGGGACGAAAUGUGCCUUAUCCUGGAU